CUGAGCGGCAGCAUCCAGACCCGGAAAGGACCUAGUUUCAGCCUGGCACCUCCCAAGCUGCAAGGAUCCUACCCCAGCCCAGCCCAGCUCUGAGAAACAGGACUUUGCUACAGCCCGCCUCAAAGCAUCUUGGUGGACUUCUCCCCAGCACGAGCUCUCUCUACUUCAGGGAUUGCAAACUGGCAUCCUCUUUUGCCAGUAUUGGGUUUUUAAGUUUUUUUUAAGUGAUCACCAGCAUUUAAAAAUCCUAUUUCACAUAAAA
rnacentral:lncRNA from 10 species